GUGCCAGCAGCCGCGGUAAUUCCAGCUCCAAUAGCGUAUAUUAAAGUUGUUGCAGUUAAAAAGCUCGUAGUUGAAACUUGGGCCUGGCUGGCGGGUCCGCCUCACCGCGUGCACUCGUCCGGCCGGGCCUUCCUUCUGAAGAACCUCAUGCCCUUCACUGGGCGUGCUGGGGAAUCAGGACUUUUACUUUGAAAAAAUUAGAGUGUUCAAAGCAGGCCUUUACUCGAAUACGUUAGCAUGGAAUAAUAAAAUAGGGCGUGCGUUUCUAUUUUGUUGGUUUCUAGAGACGCCGCAAUGAUUAACAGGAACAGUCGGGGGCAUCAGUAUUCAGUUGUCAGAGGUGAAAUUCUUGGAUUUACUGAAGACUAACUACUGCGAAAGCAUUUGCCAAGGAUGUUUUCAUUAAUCAGUGAACGAAAGUUAGGGGAUCGAAGACGAUCAGAUACCGUCGUAGUCUUAACCGUAAACUAUGCCGACUAGGGAUCGGGCGAUGUUCUUUUUCUGACUCGCUCGGCACCUUACGAGAAAUCAAAGUUUUUGGGUUCUGGGGGGAUUAUGGUCGCAAGGCUGAAACUUAAAGAAAUUGACGGAAGGUCACCACCAGGCGUGGAGCCUGCGGCUUAAUUUGACUCAACACGGGGAAACUCACCAGGUCCAGAUGAAAUAAGGAUUGACAGAUUGAGAGCUCUUUUCUUGAUUUUUCAGGUGGUGGUGCAUGGCCGUUCUUAGUUCGUGGGGUGACUUGUCUGCUUAAUUGCGAUAACGAGCGAGACCUUACUCUGCUAAAUAGCCAGGCUAACUUUGGGUUGGUCGCCGGGCUUCUUAGAGGAGACUAAUCAACUCAAGU
rnacentral:rRNA from 1 species